rnacentral:rRNA from 1 species
AGCCAAACUUCGGUUAGGCGAGUAAAGUGGCGCACGGGUGAGUAACGCGUAGGUAACCUGCCCCUGUGUUCGGGAUAACAGUGCGAAAGCGCUGCUAAUACCGGAUGUGGCCAACGGGCGGUGGUCUGUUGGUCAAAGUCGGCCUCUCGCAGAAGCUGACGCGCGGGGAUGGGCCUGCGUCCUAUCAGCUAGUUGGCAGGGUAACGGCCUACCAAGGCUUCGACGGGUAGCUGGUCUGAGAGGAUGAUCAGCCACACUGGCACUGAAACACGGGCCAGACUCCUACGGGAGGCAGCAGUGAGGAAUUUUGCGCAAUGGCCGCAAGGCUGACGCAGCAACGCCGCGUGGGUGAAGAAGGCCUUCGGG